rnacentral:rRNA from 1 species
UUUUGACUUURAAAAUGGACUGCUCAGUAAUACUCACUUUAUUUUAUGUAAAUUUUUAAUUAACUACGUUAAAGUGUAGAUAAGAUGUUUACAGUAAGAGUGAGACCUAUCAGCUAGUUGUUAAGGUAAUGGCUUAACAAGGCUGUGACGGGUAACGGUAUUACUUUGUAAUAUUCCGGAGAAGGAGCCUGAGAGACGGCUACUAAGUCUAAGGAUUGCAGCAGGGGCGAAACUUGACCUAUGGAUUUUAUUUGASGCAGUUAUGGGAAGUAAUAUUAUAUUGUUUCAUAUUUUAAAAGUAUAUGAGGUGAUUAAUUGGAGGGCAAAUCAAGUGCCAGCAGCCGCGGUAAUACUUGUUCCAAGAGUGUGUAUGAUGAUUGAUGCAGUUAAAAAGUCCGUAGUUUAUUUUUUUAAAAAGCAA